rnacentral:rRNA from 1 species
UGGGGAAUAUUGGGCAAUGGGCGAAAGCCUGACCCAGCAACGCCGCGUGAGGGAAGAAGGGUUUCGGCUCGUAAACCUCUGUCCUAUGGGACGAAGGAAGUGACGGUACCAUAGGAGGAAGCCCCGGCUAACUACGUGCCAGCAGCCGCGGUAAUACGUAGGGGGCGAGCGUUGUCCGGAAUGAUUGGGCGUAAAGGGCGCGUAGGCGGCCUGUUAAGUCCGGAGUGAAAGUCCUGCUUCCAAGGUGGGAAUUGCUUUGGAUACUGAUGGGCUGGAGUGCAGGAGAGGAAAGCGGAAUUACCGGUGUAGCGGUGAAAUGCGUAGAGAUCGGUAGGAACACCAGUGGCGAAGGCGGCUUUCUGGACUGAAACUGACGCUGAGGCGCGAAAGCGUGGGGAGCAAACAGGAUUAGAUACCC